rnacentral:rRNA from 1 species
CCGCAAGGAGGACGCUUACCACGGUGUGGCCGAUGACUGGGGUGAAGUCGUAACAAGGUAGCCGUAGGGGAACCUGCGGCUGGAUCACCUCCUUA